GAGUAACGCGUGAGUAACCUGCCUUCAAGAGGGGGAUAACAUUCUGAAAAGAAUGCUAAUACCGCAUGACAUAUCGGAACCACAUGGUUUUGAUAUCAAAGAUUUUAUCGCUUGAAGAUGGACUCGCGUCCGAUUAGUUAGUUGGUGAGGUAACGGCUCACCAAGACCGCGAUCGGUAGCCGGACUGAGAAGUUGAACGGCCACAUUGGGACUGAGACACGGCCCAGACUCCUACGGGAGGCAGCAUG
rnacentral:rRNA from 1 species